rnacentral:rRNA from 1 species
UACGGGGGGGGCAAGCGUUGUUCGGAAUUACUGGGCGUAAAGGGCUCGUAGGCGGCCAACUAAGUCAGACGUGAAAUCCCUCGGCUUAACCGGGGAACUGCGUCUGAUACUGGUUGGCUUGAAUCCGGGAGAGGGAUGUGGAAUUCCAGGUGUAGCGGUGAAAUGCGUAGAUAUCUGGAGGAACACCGGUGGCGAAGGCGGGUCUCUGGGCCGAUACUGACGCUGAGGAGCGAAAGCGUGGGGAGCGAACAGG